AGAGUUUGAUCAUGGCUCAGGAUGAACGCUGGCGGGCGUGCCUAAUACAUGCAAGUCGAAACGGAGAAUUAGCAAUAAUUCUUAGUGGCGAACGGGUGAGUAACGCGUUGGUGACCUGCCCCGAAGACCGGGAUAACAGCUCGAAAGGGCUGCUAAUACCGGAUGUGGACUGGAGUUUUAGAAUCUCUUGUCUAAAGGGGCAAUCCACUUUGGGAGGGGCCUGCGUCCCAUCAGCUAGUUGGUGAGGUAACAGCUUACCAAGGCGACGACGGGUAGGGGGCCUGAGAGGGUGACCCCCCACACUGGCACUGAAACACGGGCCAGACACCUACGGGUGGCAGCAGUAGGGAAUCUUGCACAAUGGGCGAAAGCCUGAUGCAGCAACGCCGCGUGCGCGAUGAAGGCCUUCGGGUCGUAAAGCGCUUUUCUGGGAGACGAGGAAGGACGGUAUCCCAGGAAGAAGGCUCGGCUAACUACGUGCCAGCAGCCGCGGUAAAACGUAGGAGCCAAGCGUUAUCCGAAUUUACUGGGCGUAAAGCGCGUGCAGGCGGCUCGAUAAGUUGGCUGUGAAAUCUCCUGGCUCAACUGGGAGAGGCCGGUCAAGACUGUCGGGCUGGAGGGCAGUAGAGGGAGGUGGAAUUCCCGGUGUAGUGGUGAAAUGCGUAGAGAUCGGGAGGAACACCAGUGGCGAAAGCGGCCUCCUGGACUGUACCUGACGCUCAGACGCGAAAGCUAGGGGAGCGAACGGGAUUAGAAACCCCGGUAGUCCUAGCCGUAAACGAUGUCGACUUGGCGUCGGUGGGGUAAAAGCCAUCGGUGCCGGAGCUAACGCGGUAAGUCGACCGCCUGGGGACUACGGCCGCAAGGUUAAAACUCAAAGGAAUUGACGG
rnacentral:rRNA from 1 species